AGUGUAGAUCUGAAUGAGAUCAGUCGUUGGAAGGCUGUUGAAAAUUUUAGUGGAGCAGAUCUCUCGGCAAUGAUGAAUGGAGCUGCUAAGGCUUCUAUUAAAAAAGAAUUAACAUCUACGGAUGACAGUGUUGGUUCAUAUACAAGGACUAUUAAGAAGUGUCACCUUGAACAAUCAGUUGCUAAAAUCACACCAUCGGUAACUAAUAAGCAACUACAAAGGUACUUGAAAUU